rnacentral:tRNA from 1 species
GCGAGCGUGGUGGAACUGGCAGACACGCGGGACUUAGGAUCCCGUUUCCGCUGCAAGGCGGAUUGAGGGUUCGACUCCCUCCGCUCGCA